UACAGAGGGGGCAAGCGUUGUUCGGAAUUACUGGGCGUAAAGGGCGCGUAGGCGGCCUGCUAAGUCGAUCGUGAAAUCCCCGGGCUUAACCCGGGAACUGCGACCGAUACUGGUUGGCUUGAAUUCGGGAGAGGGAUGCAGAAUUCCAGGUGUAGCGGUGAAAUGCGUAGAUAUCUGGAGGAAUACCGGUGGCGAAGGCGGCAUCCUGGACCGACAUUGACGCUGAGGAGCGAAAGCUAGGGGAGCAAACGGG
rnacentral:rRNA from 1 species